rnacentral:rRNA from 1 species
AGGAUGAAUGCUGGCGGCGCGCCUAACACAUGCAAGUCGAGCGGUAAGGCCCUUAGGGGUACACGAGCGGCGGACGGCUGAGUAACGCGUGGGAGCAUGCCCCAAAGUGAGGAAUAACUGCCCGAAAGGGUAGCUAAUGCCGCAUAUGAUCUUAGGAUUAAAGGAUUUAUCCGCUUUGGGAGUGGCCUGCGUACGAUUAGAUAGUUGGUGAGGUAAAGGCUCACCAAGUCUACGAUCGUUAACUGUUCUGAGAGGAUGAUCAGUCAGACUGGAACUGAGACACGGUCCAGACUCCUACGGGAGCAGCAGUGAGGAAUCUUCCACAAUGGGC